GUGUAAACAUAUAUUACUUUUCUUUAAAGAGAAACUUUGACAACACGAAAUACCACAAUUUAUGAAGAAAAAACCCUUAAUGCUGCCUUUUUAUUCUUUUUUAGCAAUCUCCAUCAAGCUUAUGAUGACUUCUCCGGUUGGGUCAGUGAGGAUAGUUGGUGAAACGUUGCUAAUAAUGAUCAUGAAGAGCACUUGGACCAGCCAGCAUGUUCAGUGAAUCGACUGGGCUACAGUACAGCUACAUUAGGCCUACAGACUAAGUACAUAGUAUGAAAAAGGCACUACCCCAGGGGCAUGGCACAAGUGUAUAUAGGUAUUAAGAUAUUUCCUGUCCGCAUCCAAUCAGCCUGAGGAUCUCUCCAACUGUGGUAAUGAAGACCUGGACCUGUUGUAUCAGCACAUAACACUACAGACAAGAUAACACUUGUAUGGAAAGAUGAAGGGAAACAAGUUCAAAAUACCUCUCCAUCUUUGAUAAGCGGAAAUUGUGCACUCCUGCAGAAAGAAACAUUAGGUGAACAUUACCCUAGGGCAUCCAUGAGUAACUUAUUGGGGCUUAUGUCUGUUUCAUUUGGGACUUGCACUUGCUGUUUUUACAACAGUUGUGAACAACCAUUUUCAAUCCAUAAUCAAACCUCAACAUCCUUACAAAAUAGACUGGGUCUUGAAAACAAGAUACAUGAAUGCUUGCUUAUGAGGGCGAGUCAUAUACCUCAAAAAUCUUAGUUUAACAGUGUGCUAAGACUUUGGAGAGGACACAAGCAAAGGAGGCUACAAACUUAUGGCUGUCAAAUAUUGUUUUGGGAAUGUUAACUUCAAAAUAAAGGACUGAACAAGAUGUGGCCUAUAUAAUGAUGUGACAAACAAAAGCAAAUACAUGACUCAUUAAAUUAAUUACUUUCAGAUGUGGAUCUCAUGACUUAUCAUAGAAUGUUUUGGAUUAAUUACUAUGUCACUGUGGUACAAUCGCAAAUAAUGGUUAUUGACACAUGUCUCUAAUGCACCUGACAAUCAGAAAUAAUGCUUAUUAAGCACUUCAGUCGUCACCGAGGACAUUCAGAAAGGCAUGUUUAAAGAGAUAUGUUCACACAGUUUGGUUCAUUAUAUUUUCUCAAAUCCUUGAUAUUGCACACAUAUUGAAGGAGGUCCCAAAUCAUUAAACCAUAUGUAACGUAGUAAACCAGCGGUGGAAUUUUGUCUGCUUCCAUUAUAAAUUUAAGACAUCAAACUGAUGUAAACUAAAACAGAUUUAGUUUAAAAUAGUCAAAUAGAAAAAAAAAUCAUUUCACCAUUAUGGUAAAGUAAAGCGCCACUGCUCCAUCUUUAACUUUUCUACCCUAUACUUAAUGUUUGUGAUUUUCAUAUUCAGGACAUCAAACUGAUGUAAACUUAAAAGAAACGAAUGGAAAAAGUUUGUCAGAAUAGAAAAUGAUGCGAGCCUUCAUUUCACCAUGGGGCGGUUCAUUUUACCAUAAUGGUAUUAUGAACCGCGGUUCAUUUCACCAUGCUUUACAAUACCAUGCUUCACCGGUGUAAACUUUAUUCAUUUUUACAACAAUUAUGACACAAGUUAUCCAAAUUAUAUUAAUCAUUCUUGUCCGCCAGGGGUGUUAUCGCGUGGGGUGGGGGUUGGAGUGUCUUGAUGUGGAAGGAAACUGGAGAACCCGGAAAAACCCCCAGGAAUCGAGGAAUCAAACCCCAGCCGCUUUGCUUGUUGAAAGGCAAUUGCGUUAUCCACUGUGCCACCUGACCACCCAAGGACUAUUGGUUAUUCAAAAGUUUAAACAUAUUUCAUCAAAAAGAAGGUAUAUGCAGGCCCCUACAUCCACCACAAAUAUCCGUCUCCUGACCUAAUACUGGAUGCAAUUGUAAUUCAAUAUCCAUUAUUGCAAUAAAGUCAUUAUACUUGUG